rnacentral:rRNA from 1 species
GCAAACGCCGGGGAAGCAGCGGGGGGAAUACGGGGGGGGCAAGCGGUAAUUGGAAGUACUGGGCGUAAAGCGUGCGCAGGCGGCUUAUUAAGUCAGAUGUGAAAUCCCUAGGCUCAACCUAGGAACUGCAUUUGAAACUAAUAAACUAGAGUAUCGUAGAGGGAGGUAGAAUUCCAGGUGUAGCGGUGAAAUGCGUAGAUAUCUGGAGGAAUACCAGUGGCGAAGGCGACCUCCCGGACGAAAACUGACGCUCAAGCACGAAAGCAUGGGGAGCAAACAGGAUUAGAUCCCCGAGUAGUC